AUACGGAGGGUGCGAGCGUUAAUCGGAAUUACUGGGCGUAAAGCGUACGUAGGCGGUUGGUUAAGUUAGAUGUGAAAGCCCCGGGCUUAACCUGGGAACUGCAUUUAAAACUGGCGAACUAGAGUUGAGUAGAGGGGAGUGGAAUUUCAGGUGUAGCGGUGAAAUGCGUAGAGAUCCGAAGGAACACCAGUGGCGAAGGCGACUCCCUGGACUCGAACUGACGCUGAGGUACGAAAGCGUGGGUAGCAAACGGGAUUAGAUACCCCAGUAGUCC
rnacentral:rRNA from 1 species